rnacentral:rRNA from 1 species
ACGCUGGCGGCAGGCCUAACACAUGCAAGUCGAGCGGUAGAGAGAAGCUUGCUUCUCUUGAGAGCGGCGGACGGGUGAGUAAUGCCUAGGAAUCUGCCUGGUAGUGGGGGAUAACGUCCGGAAACGGACGCUAAUACCGCAUACGUCCUACGGGAGAAAGCAGGGGACCUUCGGGCCUUGCGCUAUCAGAUGAGCCUAGGUCGGAUUAGCUAGUUGGUGGGGUAAUGGCUCACCAAGGCGACGAUCCGUAACUGGUCUGAGAGGAUGAUCAGUCACACUGGAACUGAGACACGGUCCAGACUCCUACGGGAGGCAGCAGUGGGGAAUAUUGGACAAUGGGCGAAAGCCUGAUCCAGCCAUGCCGCGUGUGUGAAGAAGGUCUUCGGAUUGUAAAGCACUUUAAGUUGGGAGGAAGGGCAGUAAAUUAAUACUUUGCUGUUUUGACGUUACCGACAGAAUAAGCACCGGCUAACUCUGUGCCAGCAGCCGCGGUAAUACAGAGGGUGCAAGCGUUAAUCGGAAUUACUGGGCGUAAAGCGCGCGUAGGUGGUUCGUUAAGUUGGAUGUGAAAUCCCCGGGCUCAACCUGGGAACUGCAUUCAAAACUGUCGAGCUAGAGUAUGGUAGAGGGUGGUGGAAUUUCCUGUGUAGCGGUGAAAUGCGUAGAUAUAGGAAGGAACACCAGUGGCGAAGGCGACCACCUGGACUGAUACUGACACUGAGGUGCGAAAGCGUGGGGAGCAAAC